UCUUCCAAGGUCCUAAUAAACGAAGGUAACUAUGGAAACUCAAGCACUCGGAACACUGGGCAAUGUAAACGCUCUCUGCUCGGCAGGGUUCCCUCACACGCAAACACCAUUUCUGAGAAAUCCUUAGUACACCUCCCCGAGGGGACCGCACAGACUCAGACCACAUCUAAACAAGCCACAGCCUUGCUCCAGUUCUCUUUGGAGUGGGGUUCACUGUUAUUACUUGCCAAGAUUAUGUGGGGGAACAAGAAAAGCUCUUAAACUUUUUUCUCAGCAUGGUGGUUGAAGAGAGACAAAGAAAGUGUUGGAAGCUAGAGAAACGGAGAGAUGUCGAAGGCAGCAAUGCAUUGGGGGACGUCUGAACCAUCCCAACCCAGGGCAACUCACCCACCUCGUCAAUGCAAAGUUGAGGAUACUGCAACUAUGCAACCUACAUGGGCCACACA